CACGUAGGGGGCAAGCGUUGUCCGGAUUUAUUGGGCGUAAAGAGCUCGUAGGCGGCUCAGUAAGUCAGGUGUGAAACCUCCAGGCUCAACCUGGAGACGCCACCUGAUACUGCUGUGGCUAGAGUCCGGUAGGGGAGCGUGGAAUUCCUGGUGUAGCGGUGAAAUGCGCAGAUAUCAGGAGGAACACCAGCGGCGAAGGCGGCGCUCUGGGCCGGAACUGACGCUGAGACGCGAAAGCGUGGGGAGCGAACAGG
rnacentral:rRNA from 1 species